rnacentral:rRNA from 1 species
AACGAACGCUGGCGGCAUGCCUAACACAUGCAAGUCGAACGAGACCUUCGGGUCUAGUGGCGCACGGGUGCGUAACGCGUGGGAACCUGCCCUUAGGUUCGGAAUAACUCCCCGACAGGGGUGCUAAUACCGGAUAAUGUCUUCGGACCAAAGAUUUAUCGCCUUUGGAUGGGCCCGCGUUGGAUUAGCUAGUUGGUAGGGUAAAAGCAUACCAAGGCGACGAUACAUAGCUGGUCUGAGAGGAUGAUCAGCCACACUGGGACUGAGACACGGCCCAGAAUCCUACGGGAGGCAGCAGUGGGGAAUAGUGGAAAGUGGGCGAAAGCCUGAUCCAGCAAUGCCGCGUGAGUGAUGAAGGCCUGAGGGUUGUAAAGCUCUUUUACCCGGGAUGAUAAUGACAGUACCGGGAGAAUAAGCUCCGGCUAACUCCGUG